CGCGUAGGCAGUCUUGUCGGUCAGAUGUGAAAGCCCAGGGCUCAACCCUGGACGUGCAUUUGAAACAGCAAGACUUGAGUACGGGAGAGGAAAGCGGAAUUCCUGGUGUAGAGGUGAAAUUCGUAGAUAUCAGGAGGAACACCGAUGGCGAAGGCAGCUUUCUGGACCGAUACUGACGCUGAGGCGCGAAGGCGUGGGUAGCGAACAGGAUUAGAUACCCUGGUAGUCC
rnacentral:rRNA from 1 species